GGGCCCUUAGUUCAGCCUGGCAGAACGUCCCCCUUGCAAGGGGAAGGCCCAGGGUUCAAAUCCCUGAGGGUCCA
rfam:Candidatus Nanosalina sp. J07AB43 genomic scaffold scf_7180000030744, whole genome shotgun sequence.